CAAGUACUCCCUCCAUCCGGAAUUACUUGUCAUCAAAAUGGAUGUGUCUAGAACUAAAAUACAUCUAGAUACACCCAUUUCAAUGACAAGUAUUUUCGGACGGACGGAGUACAAG
rnacentral:pre_miRNA from 1 species